GUUAAAAAGCUCGUAGUUGAACCUUUGGCCUGGCUGGCAGGUCCGCCUCACCGCGUGCACUUGUCCGGCCGGGCCUUUCUUCUGGAGAACCGCAUGCCCUUCACUGGGUGUGUGGGGACCAGGACUUUUACUUUGAAAAAAUUAGAGUGUUCAAAGCAGGCUUUGCUCGAAUACGUUAGCAUGGAAUAAUAGAAUAGGACGUGCGGUCCUAUUUUGUUGGUUUCUAGGACCGCCGUAAUGAUUAAUAGGGACAGUCGGGGGCAUCAGUAUUCAAUUGUCAGAGGUGAAAUUCUUGGAUUUAUUGAAGACUAACUACUGCGAAAGCAUUUGCCAAGGAUGUUUUCAUUAAUCAGGAACGAAAGUUAGGGGAUCGAAGACGAUCAGAUACCGUCGUAGUCUUAACCAUAAACUAUGCCGACUAGGGAUCGGGCGGUGU
rnacentral:rRNA from 1 species